CAGUAGCCACGGUAAUACAGAGGGUGCGAGCGUUAAUCGGAUUUACUGGGCGUAAAGCGUGCGUAGGCGGCUAAUUGAGUCGGAUGUGAAAUCCCCGAGCUUAACUUGGGAAUUGCAUUCGAUACUGGUUAGCUAGAGUGUGGGAGAGGAUGGUAGAAUUCCAGGUGUAGCGGUGAAAUGCGUAGAGAUCUGGAGGAAUACCGAUGGCGAAGGCAGCCAUCUGGCCUAACACUGACGCUGAGGUACGAAAGCAUGGGGAGCAAACAGGAUUAGAUACCCCCGUAGUCCCUGUCUCUUAUAA
rnacentral:rRNA from 1 species